CAGAGGUGUGCUCUUCAGAUCUAAUAGAAAUUUGGCCAUUUAACCAAGCUUCAAUUUAAGAACCUUGUUCUUGGCUAAUUUUUUCCCCUAUUUUAGGGAAGUUACUUAUACGUUAGAGGGCUUUCAGCAAAUGUUAAGGUUUGUUUAUACUAAGCGCACGAGCACAGCACACACUAAAUCACUUCAAAAAGAACAAUAGGACAAAUGCUAGCCGUAACAUUCUGACAUGUGAAAACCAGAGGUAGGAACAGAGACCACGUAAGAUGAAAAUACAUAGAAAGCUGAAAUUAUUUUGAUAUUUUACGAACUAUAACAUAAAUGAUAGUACGGAGAAGUGAAUGUCAUUUCAAAAUAAGGAGAGUUUGAUCUCAGCAUUACAAAUACAUUAAUCAAUUUAAUAAUGUUUUAAUCAUAUACAAGUUCACAGAAACUAUUAUCUUUUCUUGCUGACUUCUUCAUUAGGACACCCAAUUGAAAAUAUAAAGAAAUAAGAAAAACAAUCCAUUCACUUAGAUGGUGGAACGCAGUUCAACAGAGACAUUAUAAAGCUAUUAAUGAGAGGUUGGACAACCUGCCAAAGCACCAGCGCUCUUAGCUUUAACGAUUGGUAACAUAACAUGAAAAAACAGAGUACCUGAUGUUGUUUUCAAAGACAGAUUAAGGUAAAGACGACUCUAGGUUCAGCGCUGACUGACCAAGCAUAAUCCUGUUCCUGCCAAAUUUCAGCACUAAUAAAAAGAAGAAAAAGCCAUGCCUAGCAGAGCAGUUGUGUUUAUCAAAUGCUACACACAGCCUUUCCAGAGCCGGCUAAAGGAUGUACCCUGUGAUACUCCUGGACGUUAUAAAUCCUGAUGUGAAAGUAUGUUCUUUCAGUAAAGAACGAAAAGAAAGCAAGUGGUGAAAAAGUCAGGUCCAAAGCAGAAAGCUCACAUUUUCAACAAGACAAGAGAAAAACUCACCAAUGAUGAAAAAUGAUUAUGUGAAGCUCUCAAGCUACUUGAGCCUGAACUCAAUUUGAAGUCAUCUUAGGAAAAGAUCUACCACAGAUUUCUGAAAAGAAGGCUAUAUCAUUUUGAAUUCUUUUUGUGAAAAAAAUACACGGACUGUAUAUUUAUAAAACCAAACCUUUAAUUAAUUUAAUCACUUUUUUUAAUCACUUUUAAUUUAAUUUAAUCACUUUCAGAUAAAAGAAACCUGAUACAAUAUACCCUGAUUUCAUUAUUUACUUCCAUCCACUGAUUCCUGAUAUAUAUAUCUCAAGCUCUUCCAGUGAACAACGACAGCCUACAUGAAGGAGGGACACUAAAUCCUUCUUGCUUUGCUUGCAUCAGUGACUACUAUGGGUAUGCUGCCUUGAAGAAAUGGAACAAGAUUAGAGUCAGCAUCAUCGCUUAACGUUUCGCUGUGAUGGAAAACUCAGUAAAAGAUGACAAACGGUAUUUAUACUCUCACACAGGAACCUACUGAAUCACAUCAUAUCGCUGGACCUCUGGUAAGAUUAUAAACUGACUUUGAAAGGUAAGGAAGGCAAUGGAGCACAAAAUCUAAUAACUAAUUCAAAGCUUUGAGGACGAAUAUUACUUGACAGUAAUCCUUCCAUGAAAUCAUGAACCAGAGCACUGCCCCAGUCUGAUGGCCUAUCAAGCUUAGUGCCGAUUAAUUAAAUCAUUCAACUAAUCUGUCGUGUAAUGAAUUUCAGUUCAUUUUCCAGAACAAAAAAAAUUGCCACUAUUUACCUGGUGAGUUAAAGCGUUGCCAAUCCAUUGGCAACACACACAAAUCUGAUUUGUAAUUUUGUAGAGAGCCCUAGCUCUCUACACGUAUCGCAUGUAAGACUACGAGUUUAACGUUUAACUAUCUAUGCUAUUUGUAAGGACCAGACUUCUUAUUUUUGUUUGAAUACUAAAUGGUUGAAAAUAUUUCUGGGAACAGAGUAGACUAAAUCAUCCCUAAUUCUGAAUGAGGAUCAUACCAAGUAUGAAUCAACAUGCAAUUUUCUGUUAAUGUCCAUUUUCUUCGUCUGAAAAAAUAUAAAUUCCUGACCCUAACAUCCAGACAAAAAAUUUUCUAAAAACAGAAAGAAAAUAUCCUUUUUCAACCUAAGUAUUUUUUCUGUUUUCCUAUCUGAUUCUCUUACCUUCCAGUAUCCCCUGCCCAAACAUGUCUUUUGGGGUUGAUGAGGAGUACCACACUCGUGGGCUGAUGUGCCAAGUUUCACCUCUGGAUUUAAUUAGAUUUUCCUUUAAAGAAUUGGUACUGACUGUUUCCUGUUGCACUAGCUUUUGGUUUUCCUCACCAUUUGAUUGUUUACAAUAAAUGGACAGAAAUUUCAAUAACUAUGACGGAGUGAAAUGGAAGACUAGAGAGGUUACAACUUGGGAAAAGUUUCUUAUCCCCAGUGUUAUACUUGCUCUACUUCCCAAGCAAGUAAAGCCUGUGCUUGUUUGUUGGGCUUAACGGAGUGCAGAGAGGCUUUUUAGGGAGGGACGGUGUCAAUCAGAAGGCGGCACAACUUGAGGCACAUCAGGACUCUGGAACAACCACCAGGUUCUCCAUUCGGGUGACUUCUCCCUGCUGGUGUGAAAUGUGUUCCUUGGUAGUUCAGAGACCUUUGGAGGGGCUCUACGGGGUAGGCUGUGGUUCUCAUUUUCCCUGCUUCGUUUACACACUCCAAUGGCCUGCACAACAUGACCGCUUUGUGUGCAUAAAUCCCAUGGCAUUUGAAUACCACAUGGGUUGAGAGGAGUAGAUGAAAACGUUUUUGUCCGUUACAGUAAGACGGAAACAUUUCAAGGAAUCCUUGAGGGGAAUUGGGAUAUUGGGUCAUCAUAUGAUCACACUGGGACAUAGAAUUAACAUUAAAAAGGUAAUCAAGGGAAAGAAAGCAGCAGCAAUCAGACGUUUCACUCUGCUGUCAGAGAGCAUUGCCCCAGCAAAAUGGAAGGUCAGCGUAUGAGAACCUGGAAGCGCCACCAGUCCCGGCCCUCUGUUUCGUUGGCGAAGGCUCGCCCUACCCACUUUGGUGGCCCUGUUCACAGAGGCUCUGGGGCUGCAGCAGACGGGGGCUGGCACGGAGUGGCGGCACGGCUCCUUGCCCAGCCCUGCUCCGAGGGCUGGAGGCACAGGAGAGGCUGUGGUCCUGCCCGACCGCGAGGGAUGGCCUGCCGGGAACCCACUGGUCGAGGAGCGUGACGCCCUCGUACAUCUCUACAGGAACGAACACUUUGUGGAGGCAGAGUAAUUGAUAAACAAGUAAUUUUUCAUUUAUGCCUAAAUUACAAAUGCACUUGAUCUUUCAAUGGAGUGAUGCACAGAUAACCUAUAACACCCCAUGAAUAAUUAUGCUUGCUAACUUUCUCCUUCCUUUGAUUUAAAAAUUAUAACUAAAACUCAGCAGCAGCAACUAAGCUAAAUACAUUUGGCAACCAUUGUUGCAAACACACGGCUCAUCUGUGUUAUUUAUUUACUCGAGAUGACAAGCUAAGAGAAAUGGCAACAAAUAAUUUCUUUCACCUCAGCAGCUAAUAUAUACUAAUUAUAACCCAACUGUCUCAAAUACCAAGCAACCACAAGUCCCAAUUAUAUCAAGGAAGAUGAAGACUAUUAGCAGCAAUGAAAACCACGGUCAUAACAAAAUCGGUCCAUGAAUCAAAUCUUGGUGGUACAUAUAGAUAGAUAAUAAAGGAUAGGAAUGAGUUGGAAGACAUCAGCAAUAGUUUUAAGAGUCUUGUUGUUGAUUAAUUAUAGACCGUGAACCAUGACCCUCACUUCUGUCUUUGGCUACCACACCCCCUUGUCAGUAACUAAUCGAUCUUUCAAUAUAUCCUGUAAUAAAAACAUAUGCUCUUUUUUCCUCCUGAAGAAUGAAAUUCAGCAGAUACGCUUUGGCAUUUUAGAUACUGAACCAAAGCUCUAUACAAAAUACAAAAAGACUUUAUGUGAAUUUCAAGCAUCUGACAAUUUACAUUUAAUAUUGAAAUAACGUAAUGACAUGAUAUACUGAUAAGGACUACACUAACAGAAAACCACUCUCUGCAGCAUUUCUCUAUAGCAUUUCUUCAGUAACGUCCUGCUAGUAAUGAUAACACAAAUACUGAUUUAUUACUCACUUUUAUCUACCUGUCAGCAUCAAAUUUCAAGUCCAAAAAUGCAUACUCACAACGUGUUUUUCGAUAGUUAACUGGAAGUUUUCCCUCUGGAUCAAAGCAUGCAUUAUGGCUCCCGAUAGCAGGAACAAAAAAGACAGGUCACUUCAGGAGGCUUGUAAUGCCAUCUUAUUUCUAGUUAUAAAAUACUGUAUUUUAAAGGAAUGACAAAAGCCUAAUUUUUCCCCCUCUUGGUAUUUCUAGACCUCACCGCUAAUCAGCUGAAGGAGGUUCUUCUGUGUAACUGUUGUAAAGCACAAUAUUCAAGGAUCCACCAGCACAAACAGCUAAUCAAGACAAGCAGGGUUUCAAAUGACUGCCAUACAUACUAGAUGUCCUCCCAGUAAAGGCAGAUCCUAUUGACACAGCUCCUACGUGAAAGCCAACGUAAAGCAUUAGGAAAUAGAGAAAGCACUAACACUGUGUGGAACCGCUCCCAGUAACACUGCACAGGGAGUCCACUGGUGAAACGAGAUUUUUGAGACAAAUGUGGCAGAACAAACUAUGGAUUCACUAGUACAUUGGUAAGCCCAGACUGACAUGCAGGGCUACUGCUGGAUUGGUCACCAGUGGGAACACAAAAUCUGAACUGGUCAGCUCAGCUAUGGAUAGCAGAAUAAAAAGACACCAUGGUAUGAAGCAUGGGAUGGGAGAACUGCCUCCACAAACCUUGUAGACGGGCAGACAGCAAACCCUGGAUCCCCGACAAGUCAAGGCCCUUCUUUUAAACUGUAUUUUGAACCACUUACUGCAUAUCAGCAUGUUUUUCUUUAGCCAGUGCCACAAAUUUCCCCUUCAGGAAUCCACAGUGUUUAGAAGGUGACUGGUAGAUUUACAUUGAGAUUGAAGCACCCAUGUUUCCAUCAAACCUUUUAGCAGUCAUUAGAGAUUUACUAUUGGGAUUUUUUUCCCCCUCUACAACCUGGUUGAAUAAUCAUUAACUAUGGCAUAUCUGCUUUUGUGGAAUAACUGAAUAAUGCAUUGGUAAUGCAUUUGCAAUGUACCUCUUGGAAAUAAGUGUAAUAAAACUUAGUGUCUUCCGAGAUGUAUUUUAAACAUCACAGAUUCAUCCAGUAUAAGAAGCCACCUGGUUCUUUAUUGCCAGUAACGAGAACGCUCUGUCCCCUAGUUCAGCACUUCAGGAGAGAUAAAUAUUCUGUAACGAACAUCAAUUUUAAUAUGAUACUUGGCAUGAAAUCUCUAAAGGAAAACCAUUCUAAUCAUGGUUAUCAAAUUUUCAC